CCUAAAGUGGACCAGCGAGAGGGAGGGACUAGUCAGAAUGGGAGUACAGUAAGUCUGAAACACGCAAUCAUAACCAAUCAACAAUGUAGGCGAAAGCCACUGCGCUCCCUCAGGGCUCUUCUGAGGCAGAUGGGGCCGAACCAGCACUGUGAUUCUUUUCCUGAACAUUGGAGACAGUAUUCUGAGGCACACAGUGGAACGUUUGUAUGUGCCACCAUUUCUAAGACCUUCAAUCCCCAGACUUCCAUUCUUUUCCUGUAGGACUCUGGAAUCCUGGGUUUUACUGCAGCUAAGUUGGGUACCACAGCCUUGUAUUUAUGGGUAUCAUCAUCAAGGAACAGAGUGAGCAAACAUCUUAGUUUACGAUAAGAUUCUAUUUAGUAGGCACUCCAUAGAACAUCAGAUAAGGGCCACGCUUGCGUGGAUCAAUACUGUUUGUUUUACAGGACAUCAGGUGUGUGCCAGCUUAAACAAUAGAGCAACGGAAGCAAGGGCAGAGAGAGCCAGGGACCUGAAUGACACCUCAGUAGAAGCAUGAGUGCCAUUAUCGACCACGCACAGAGGAAGAGGAGGCCCAGCAAUGGCCUGCUGGGGAACCCAUGUUGCCUAUGUGGCUGAGCAGGGAUGAGGGAUGCUUGGGAACUGAUGCUGACUGAGCCCACACACAGGCCUCCCGCCUGGUACAGAAGGGAACAACGUGUGGCAUCCUGAUACAUGGCUUCCAAGCAGGCGAGCAGACGCACUUACCGAGCCCGUGCCUGUGUGUGGACAUAGGUGGCAUCACACUCCAGGUUUUUGUUUUGGGGUUGUAGCACUCUACGGUGUUCAGAGUCUUCAGUCCGUCUCGCCCUCCGACCACGUACAGUUUGUCAUCUAAGACUGCGACGCCGAAUUGGAGCCUCCUCCCAUUCAUGUUUGCCACAGGAGUCCACAUAUUUGUACGGAGGUCAUACUUCUCAAUGCUUGUUGCUCCUGAACAAUAACACAGAAGUUAGGAGACUACAAGAUCCACCCCGGCUAUGUUACAGACACAGAAGUAGAAUUUAUCUUGUGUGUGUGUGUGUUGUGUGUGUGCGCGCGCGCGUGCAUAUGGUGGGCAGAGGUUGGUGUCUGGUGUAUUCCUUUGUCGCUCUCCACUUUGUUUUUCCAGAGGGGUCUCCCUGAACCAGAACUCACUGUUCUGGCUAGGCUGGCUGGCGAGGGGCUCCAGCAAUCCACCUGUCUGCCUCCCCAGCCCUGGGAUCACACAAGUGUGCCAGCUGUGUAUAUGGUUUCUGGGGAUUUGAACUCAGGUCCUCUUGCUUGCAUGGAGAAGCACUUUAACAGUGGAGUCAUCUCCCUAGCCCCAAAGUAUAAAGGUUUCUUCGAGCAUCGACAGCAAUACUUUUAUGCUAUCUUAUGAAGCCCCUGCAGUACGGCCCUCGCCUGUGCCAUGACCUUUUCUCCCAUCAUUCUCCCUGGCAUACUCCAGGCCCAGCAUUAAAACAUCCAGCAGGGGACGUUCUUUGUUCAAAGAGGCCAGGAAGACGCUCAGCAAUUGGCGGAAGUGCAGGGAGGGAGCCACAGGGGAUCAUUCUGAGAAGGCUGGCCACAGUGCAGACAGGGUUCUUGGACAAGCUGAGGGAGGCUGUCUCCCUUUUGGGAUCGGAUUGUUGGGUUGUUUAUAGAAGUCAAUGGAAAGGUCUAGGGGAAGGAAACCGCUGACCCAGGAGAUAAGGGAGACAAUUAUUAUGUGAGGUUCUGGAAGAAAGAACAGUAACAACAAAACGGGCGGAGUGGGGCUGACACCACGCAAGGGAGGGGGCACGGCAAGGAGGAAGGACAAAGGUCGCCUGGGAACCAUUCUGCCGGAAGUGAAGGGAGUUACUACCCAUGGGGUUUACCAUGGAAAAUUCCAGAGCUCUUUUGCUCUCUUUCAAGAUGUGGAACAGCAACAGCAGAGAUUUAGGAAAAAGUGAAAGAAAGUAUCUCACUUAAAAAAAAAUCUAACUCGCACUUCCGUAGAGAUCGAGUCUUUUUCUAAGCUGAUAAUUUACCAGCCUGUUCUAGCAUUAUAAAGGACUGCAGUCGCAGUGGACACUUACUCCUCAGGCUUGUAAAAUCAGCAUCAGAGCUACUACUGUUGAACCUAAAACCAGACCGUCCGGCUGGCUCCACACCCGGCGCUGUGUUUACUUACCCUACACAGGCUAAGGCUUUUGAGACUGACACCAACUCCCGUUCCAUCUUGUAUUCUCCCAGAACUACACAGAAUCAAUCCCUUCUAAACACUAGCUGGUUUAAAAAUACUUUUUACUUUGCAUAGCCUUUCUUUGUAAUAUAUGGCAAUAAUGAUAUUUUAUUCAUUCAGAUUAUAUACAUGUGUGUAAAGUAUCAAGAUUGUAUGGAUUUGUUUGAUUCUUCACUCCAACCAUGACUUUAAAGUGUCCAUAAAAUAAAAUAAAAAAUCGCCUUCCAUCAAACAAAAAUCUUUUUCCAUUGAUGAAUUUUCAAGCUUUUUUUGUUUUUUUUUUUUGUUUUUUGUAGACUUCUGUUAUAAACUGGAAAGCCAAAAUUUAAGAAUCUAAACUAGUAAUACAAAUAUGCAUCUAUAAGUUUGUGGGUGUGUGUGGAGAGACAGCACAGUGGUUAAGAGCGCCUAGCUUCAAUUCCUAGCACCCACAGAAUGACUGGGAGCAUAGGGAGGGUGCAGGAUCUACUGCCCUCUUCUGGCUCCCACAGGCACUGCAUGCCUAUGGUGCACAUUAGACGGGGCUGGAACAGGGCUGAGAGCAGAACCAGGAUGAGCUGAGACUGUGUGACUUCUGUCAGGGUUGCAGGCACCACUGCAGGAGGAUGGGCAGAGGUCAGGUGUACAGAAAGGCCCCAUAACAACUGACAGCCAAUAGCACCAUGCAUGGUCUUCAACCUCUAGGAACAACUGUUCACAGAAUCCAAGUUUGUAACUCAAAUAUUUGUGUUUAGCUUUCAUUUCUAUAUAUGUAUGUAUGUAUUCAUGAAUCUUUUCUUAAUUGUUUAAGAGUAAAAAUCACAGAAAUGAUGACCCCGUGGCCCUAAAUAUUUCAGCAGAUCUUCCUCAGAGAAAACGAUUCUUUUUAAAAGUCAUCUAUGUGGAGUGAAGUGUUCUUACUGAGCUAGAUCCCUAGCCUAAAGUAGCUAGUUACCUCUUCCUAAUCUCAUCUGUCUCUAUCAGUUGGCACCAUGAAAGAAACAGCUUUCCUUUCCAUCUGUGUCUCUGUGAACUCACGGAGACUCUGAUUUGACGUUAGCUUCUUUUACAGUAAUUACUUACUAUGAUGCUCAAGUUACUUAAACUCAAUGGAAACUCCCAACAAGAUGUCUUCUCUACCUUUUGAUCUGCCUCUUACCAUGCCUUGAAUAUUUUCUGCCACUAAGGUGCUUUCUGGUCUCAUCUUUUCCUGUCCUUGUCCCUCAACCAGUCACUUCUCCACCGGGCCUCUUGGUAGUGUUACUGGUUACCCUCUGUUCCUUUAGAUCAACGAUCUCCCAAUACCCUUUGUUGAAUCCAUCCCUCCAACUGCAAAUAACGUUCCAACAGUUGACUUGCGAGGCUUUGUCCGAGGACUCUGCAACAUGGGUCGUCUCUCAGGUAAUAAAUGGUACUUCAUUGCUUCCAUGAUGAGUUUCUGACAUUCAAUGUCAUCCCGGAAAAGUGCAUUGUUUUCCAUGUCUGCCAGGAACUAGAAGAGAGCAGGGUAUACAGACAAUGAAGACAUGUAAAUAUACUUUUUAGUUCACUACUGCAUUUUGCUGGUCUGUUUAUUUCUAGGAUUUUACUUCAUUUUUGAGACAGGGUCUUACUAUGUGGCCCUGGUUGGUCCAGAAUCCAUGAUGUACAGCAGGCUAGCCAUGGCCCCCUGAUUCUCCUGCUUCAGUAUCUCACACAGUGAAAUUGCAGGCAGCAAUCACCACCAUGGGCUCAUGAGUGCCCCUGCCUCAUGAGUGCAGGGAUGAAAGACAUUUAUCACCCUCCCCUGCCCGGUUUCUGUUGUUUCUGAUGUAGGAACUCAUAUUGGCUUUGAACUCUUAUGUGUCCCAGGCUGACUCUGAACUUGGGCUCACAGGUGCUGAGGCUAUAGGCAAGAGCUGCCCCAGAUUAUUGGUGUCUUUACUGCAUGCUCUGAAAUCUGAUAUUUUGGUCUCCCUCUCAUCAAGUUUCACAGUUUUCUUGGCUAUUUGAGGUCUAGUUUUCCAUGUUGGUUUAAGACAGAGUCAUCUAGUUAUCUUUAUUUUCUUGGCUUUCUGGUGUGAAUGGUGCUAAGUUCUUUUAUUAGUUAUGGAGAAUACACAUUUUGUGAUAUUAGGUCUUUCUGUUCAAGGAGCCUUCUCACUUGUAUCACUUUCUUUACUGUCUUUCCCUUCAUUUUGUUAAAUCUAUUCUUAUAUAUGUAAUUAUUUUUAUUGCCAUUUUAUUUUUUCUGUUUUUUAAAAAAAACUUUCUCUCUCCUUCUUCCUUCUCUUCUCUUCUCUUCCUUCCUUCCUUUCUUUCUUUCUUUCUUUCUUUCUUUCUUUCUUUCUUUCUUUCUUUCUUUCUUAUGUUUUGCUGGAGAAGAAAAACAAAUCUCAUGAUGACUGGAGCUUGUAUUAACCUGGCACUUUACCACACUCCUUAGCUCUAGCUGUUAUGCAUUCGCCCAUCAUCAAGUAGGGAGACUUUGACAUCUCUUCUGAGUGGACAUCAACUCUUUCAGUUUAUGGCAUUAUAUUGCCCAAACCUUCAAUGUAGUGGUAAAUAGCUGG